AAGGCUUUAAGUUAAAUAAACUAAUAGCCUUCAAAGCUGACAAUAAAGAACCUCUUUAAGCCUUA
rnacentral:tRNA from 1 species